AUUGAACGCUGGCGGCAGGCCUAACACAUGCAAGUCGAGCGGUUGACGGGAGCUUGCUCCCUGAUUCAGCGGCGGACGGGUGAGUAAUGCCUAGGAAUCUGCCUAUUAGUGGGGGACAACGUUUCGAAAGGAACGCUAAUACCGCAUACGUCCUACGGGAGAAAGCAGGGGACCUUAGGGCCUUGCGCUAAUAGAUGAGCCUAGGUCGGAUUAGCUUGUUGGUGAGGUAAUGGCUAACCAAGGCGACGAUCCGUAACUGGUCUGAGAGGAUGAUCAGCCACACUGGAACUGAGACACGGUCCAGACUCCUACGGGAGGCAGCAGUGGGGAAUAUUGGACAAUGGGCGAAAGCCUGAUCCAGCCAUGCCGCGUGUGUGAAGAAGGUCUUCGGAUUGUAAAGCACUUUAAGUUGGGAGGAAGGGUUGUAGAUUAAUACUCUGCAAUUUUGACGUUACCGACAGAAUAAGCACCGGCUAACUCUGUGCCAGCCGCCGCCGUAAUAC
rnacentral:rRNA from 1 species